UGCCCAGUAUUGCUGGGCGGAUUAGUGGCGAACGGGUGAGUAACACGUGAGUAACCUGCCCUUGACUUCGGGAUAACUCCGGGAAACCGGGGCUAAUACCGGAUAUGAGCCGUCCUCGCAUGGGGGUGGUUGGAAAGUUUUUCGGUCAGGGAUGGGCUCGCGGCCUAUCAUCUUGUUGGUGGGGUGAUGGCCUACCAAGGCGACGACGGGUAACCGGCCUGAGAGGGCGACCGGCCACACUGGUACUGAGACACG
rnacentral:rRNA from 1 species